rnacentral:rRNA from 1 species
CUACGCACUCCUACGGGAGGCAGCAGUGGGGAAUAUUGCACAAUGGGCGCAAGCCUGAUGCAGCCAUGCCGCGUGUAUGAAGAAGGCCUUCGGGUUGUAAAGUACUUUCAGCAGUGAGGAAGGUGGGUAUGUUAAUAGCAUACUCAUUUAACGUUAGCUGCAGAAGAAGCACCGGCUAACUCCGUGCCAGCAGCCGCGGUAAUACGGAGGGUGCGAGCGUUAAUCGGAAUUACUGGGCGUAAAGCGCAUGCAGGUGGUUUGUUAAGUCAGAUGUGAAAGCCCGGGGCUCAACCUCGGAAUUGCAUUUGAAACUGGCAAACUAGAGUACUGUAGAGGGGGUAGAAUUUCAGGUGUAGCGGUGAAAUGCGUAGAGAUCUGAAGGAAUACCGGUGGCGAAGGCGGCCCCCUGGACAGAUACUGACACUCAGAUGCGAAAGCGUGGGGAGCAAACAGGAUUAGAUACCCUGGUAG